GACGAACGCUGGCGGCGUGCUUAACACAUGCAAGUCAAGGGGGCCUCGCAAGGGGCAACCGGCGAACGGGUGCGUAACACGUGAGCGACCUUCCGUCUUCUGGGGGAUAGCCGGCCCAACGGCCGGGCAAUACCGCAUACGCUGCUUUUCGGGCAUCCGAGGAGCAGGAAACUUCCGGGGGAGGACGAGGGGCUCGCGGCCUAUCAGCUAGUUGGCGGGGUAACGGCCCACCAAGGCGACGACGGGUAGCUGGUCUGAGAGGACGACCAGCCACACUGGAACUGAGACACGGUCCAGACUCCUACGGGAGGCAGCAGUGGGAAUUUUGGACAAUGGGGGAAACCCUGAUCCAGCCAUGCCGCGUGUGUGAAGAAGGCCUUGGUU
rnacentral:rRNA from 1 species